UGGUUGUCCUUUUAAUCAAGGAGUGUGGUGACACUGGUACAUCAUACAGAUAAGAUGUAAGGAUACAUCAUCACAGAAUAAGUGACUCACCAGCUGAGCGUUCUGCUGUCAAGAGCUACUCACGAAACACAUGGAUACAAAUAUCCUUCAGACCUGAUAUCACCAUAGUGACUUGCAAGCAACUUACUAUGCUUUGGUGCCAAACUACCUGGAUUUUUAAUGC
rnacentral:lncRNA from 1 species